UUCCCUCCUUUUCUAUUGAUUGGAAUAGUUUCAGAAGGAAUGGUACCAGCUCCUCCUUGUACCUCUGGUAGAAUUCGGCUGUGAAUCUGUCUGGUCCUGGACUCUUUUUGGUUGAAAGCCACUAUAGUUCAGCUCCACCACACCUUGCCACCUGACUGCUGCCUACAUGAUGUGGAAGGUCUACAACAGAGCUUAGCUGGGAAUGACGCAAGAAGGCCCUCACCAGAUGCAGUUCCUUGAUCUUGAACUUUCUCACCUCCAGAACCAUGAG